AUGGAGCCCGUGCAGUUCCCAGUUCCCGCGGUGGCCGAGGUUCAAGAAGCGGCCCCUGCGGCUUCAAGUGCUGACGGGCAGAUCUACCCGGCGAAGGCAGCAGGCGAGGAGAUGGGUCAGUGCUCCGAGCACUCAAUUGAACAAAUUGACCCGAAAACACCAGGGUGGACGCAAAGAGUGCGAGUUGGUGUUGCUGCUCCAGGAAGGCCUCCUUGUAUAGACAGGAUAACAGCGCUUGAGAAGACUGUUAGGGAAUUUGCGGAGCAUCCAGGAGAUGUGGUUAUGGUGCCAAAGAUUGGGACCAGUUUUGACACACUCGGAGAAGCUUAUGACUUUUAUAAUCUGUAUUCAUGGGAGAAAGGAUUUGGAAUACGAUAUGGAAAGAGCAGGCUUAAUGUUAGCAGGACUAAGUGCAUGCAAGAGAUAGUUUGCGGAUGUGCGGGGAAGCUAAUUGUUGAAAAUACUUGUUCCCGCCGAUGUGAAUGCCCAUCACUCAUAACAUUACUUCGGUCAAAGGACAAUGGAUGGUACAUAGCAGAACAUCGAGAUGGGCACAAUCAUGCACUCUCCCAAACUUAUGGACAGACAAUACACUGGCCGUCACACAAGCAUAUUGAUGUUUACAGCAGGGACCUAGUGAAGCAGCUCCGGCAAAAUAAUGUCAACCUUGCUAAGGUGUACAACAUUGUAGGUAGCUUCUUCGGGAAGAUGGAGAAUGUGCCGUUCACGAAAAGAGCAUUGAGAAAUUUGUGUGGCAAUAUUAGCCGUGAGCAAUCAGAAGACGAUGUGUGA
rnacentral:rRNA from 1 species